rnacentral:rRNA from 1 species
CGCGGCCUAUCAGCUUGUUGGUGAGGUAAUAGCUCACCAAGGCGAUGACGGGUAGCCGGCCUGAGAGGGUGACCGGCCACACUGGGACUGAGACACGGCCCAGACUCCUACGGGAGGCAGCAGUGGGGAAUAUUGGACAAUGGGCGAAAGCCUGAUCCAGCAACGCCGCGUGAGGGAUGACGGCCUUCGGGUUGUAAACCUCUUUUAGUAGGGAAGAAGCGAAAGUGACGGUACCUGCAGAAAAAGCACCGGCUAACUACGUGCCAGCAGCCGCGGUAAUACGUAGGGUGCAAGCGUUGUCCGGAAUUAUUGGGCGUAAAGAGCUCGUAGGCGGUUUGUCGCGUCUGCUGUGAAAACCCGAGGCCCAACCUCGGGCCUGCAGUGGGUACGGGCAGACUAGAGUGCGGUAGGGGAGAUUGGAAUUCCUGGUGUAGCGGUGGAAUGCGCAGAUAUCAGGAGGAACACCGAUGGCGAAGGCAGAUCUCUGGGCCGUAACUGACGCUGAGGAGCGAAAGCAUGGGGAGCGAACAGGAUUAGAUACCCUGGUAGUCCAUGCCGUAAACGUUGGGAACUAGAUGUGGGGACCAUUCCACGGUCUCCGUGUCGCAGCUAACGCAUUAAGUUCCCCGCCUGGGGA